AUCCAACACAACUGACUUUCCAAGUGAAAGAUCCCCGAAGGGAGACCCUUACUCAAGUCUCGGGAAGUCUCACACCCCAGACACACGAGAGGCC
rnacentral:pre_miRNA from 14 species